CUCGUGUCGAUUCUCGUCGUCUCUCUCGAAUCUGGUCUGAAAUCUCGUCUCGGUCUCCUUAUCGGUAAGAAAUCAUCCUUUUGAUUUGGUCUGAAAUCUCACACUCUCUGUUCGUGAUCCGCUGUUAUGAUGAACCUUGAAGAGAAAGCAAGGAUGGAGGAAGGAUAUAACUCAGACAAGAUGGAAGAAGAAGCAAGAUAAGUUCGAACCUUGUCUUUUGAAAAAGAACUUUUAUUAAAAGAUGAUAACAGUGGUGAUAUAUUUGAUAAUAUUGAGGAAGGUGAUAUCUAUUAGAUUGGUAGUAGAGUUUUGUUUGACUGUUGAAAAUAUUGAAUCCUUUGCAUAGAAACAUAGUCGGUUGGUUUGUUAUAACAAGUGUUGAUGAUGAAUUUUAGGAAGAACUGUCUCUAUUAGUCUGGAAGCAGAGUCGAUUGUGUUUCACAUUAUCACACCAAGCUGUUCUUGUUUUUAUUUUCAUAUCAUUUUGUGUUCGGUUAUCUGUGUAAAUAAUUGAUUGAUCAAGGUUUAUUACUUUGUUUAUAUAAUUCUAUUUUUGUUGGUUGUGUGAGGAGUGGUGAUCAUCAAGAAGCGGGAGCCGACAGUUGGAGAGUUUCCUUUCAUUCAUUACGGAUUCAACAUGGCCAGAAGAUCCAUAUUUCACUUCAAUCAGCAAGAGUCCAAGCCAAGACGUAAAGAGAGAGACAUGUGACACAAA